AGUCCCGUACACCAAAAUGCACAGGCUGUGAACUCGAAGAGUAGGGCGGGACACGUGGUAUCCUGUCUGAAUAUGGGGGGACCAUCCUCCAAGGCUAAAUACUCCUGACUGACCGAUAGUGAACCAGUACCGUGAGGGAAAGGCGAAAAGAACCCCGGCGAGGGGAGUGAAAAAGAACCUGAAACCGUGUACGUACAAGCAGUGGGAGCACCUUCGGGUGUGACUGCGUACCUUUUGUAUAAUGGGUCAGCGACUUAUAUUCUGUAGCAAGGUUAACCGUAUAGGGGAGCCGCAGGGAAACCGAGUCUUAACUGGGCGUUAAGUUGCAGGGUAUAGACCCGAAACCCGGUGAUCUAGCCAUGGGCAGGUUGAAGGUUGGGUAACACUAACUGGAGGACCGAACCGACUAAUGUUGAAAAAUUAGCGGAUGACUUGUGGCUGGGGGUGAAAGGCCAAUCAAACCGGGAGAUAGCUGGUUCUCCCCGAAAGCU
rnacentral:rRNA from 1 species